GGACCCGCACAAGCGGUGGAUGAUGUGGAUUAAUUCGAUGCAACGCGAAAAACCUUACCUACCCUUGACAUGUCCGAGAGCUCGAAGAGAUUCGAGUGUGCUCGAAAGAGAAUCGGAACACAGGUGCUGCAUGGCUGUCGUCAGCUCGUGUCGUGAGAUGUUGGGUUAAGUCCCGCAACGAGCGCAACCCUUGUCAUUAGUUGCUACGAAAGGGCACUCUAAUGAGACUGCCGGUGACAAACCGGAGGAAGGUGGGGAUGACGUCAAGUCCUCAUGGCCCUUAUGGGUAGGGCUUCACACGUCAUACAAUGGUCGGGACAGAGGGUCGCCAACCCGCGAGGGGGAGCCAAUCCCAGAAACCCGAUCGUAGUCCGGAUCGCAGUCUGCAACUCGACUGCGUGAAGUCGGAAUCGCUAGUAAUCGCGGAUCAGCAUGUCGCGGUGAAUACGUUCCCGGGUCUU
rnacentral:rRNA from 1 species